rnacentral:rRNA from 1 species
GACGAACGCUGGCGGCGCGCUUAACACAUGCAAGUCGAACGAGAACCAGACCUUCGGGUCUGGGGACAGUGGCGAACGGGUGAGUAACACGUGAGUAAUCCACCCUCGGCACCGGGGAUAGCCCGGGGAAACCCGGAUUAAUACCGGAUAGCCCGCCGGCCCUUCGGGGCUGGUGGAAAAGGUAGCUUAGGCCUCUGGCCGAGGACGAGCUCGCGGCGGAUUAGCUUGUUGGCGGGGUAAUGGCCCACCAAGGCGACGAUCCGUAGCUGGUCUGAGAGGACGAUCAGCCACACU